rfam:Solibacter usitatus Ellin6076, complete genome.
ACCGCCGCGAGGUGGGGUCUGAAAGAAGCGUAUAGCAAAUGUGCGAGUCGAUGGACAAAAACCUGAUACAAGGCGUUAGCGCCGGACGAGCGGGCAACUUACCGCGAAGUCCAUAUCCAUCAAGGGUGCGAAGCGUAGAUUCGGCGGCUGUGCACAGAAGACGGCUGAACUU